CCUACGGGGGGCUGCAGACGAGAAUAUUCGACAAUGGGCGAAAGCCUGAUCGAGCGACGCCGCGUGAUGGAUGAAGUCCCUCUGGGACGUAAACAUCUUUUGUCAGGGAAGAAGUCUAAUGCUUAGCAAUAAGUAUUGGUUUGACGGUACCUGAAGAAUAAGGGGUUGCUAAACUCGUGCCAGCAGCAGCGGUAAUACGAGUACCCCAAGCGUUAUCCGGAAUCAUUGGGCGUAAAGGGUGUGUAGGCGGCAUGCUUAGUCUUCUGUCAAAAUCUUGGGCUCAACCCAAGACUUGCAGUGGAAACGGGCAAGCUAGAGGGUGCGAGAGGUGAAUGGAACUCAUGGAGUAGGGGUGAAAUCCGUUGAUAUCAUGGGGAACACCAAAGGCGAAGGCAAUUCACUGGCGCAUUUCUGACGCUGAAACACGAAAGCGUGGGUCGCGAACGGGAUUAGAUACCCUUGUAGUC
rnacentral:rRNA from 1 species